CGGAACGUACCCAAGAGUGGGGGAUAACGUAGCGAAAGUUACGCUAAUACCGCAUACGAUCUAAGGAUGAAAGCAGGGGAUCUUCGGACCUUGUGCUCCUGGAGCGGCCGAUAUCUGAUUAGCUAGUUGGUGAGGUAAAGGCUCACCAAGGCAACGAUCAGUAGCUGGUCUGAGAGGACGACCAGCCACACUGGAACUGAGACACGGUCCAGACUCCUACGGGAGGCAGCAGUGGGGAAUUUUGGACAAUGGGGGCAACCCUGAUCCAGCAAUGCCGCGUGAGUGAAGAAGGCCUUCGGGUUGUAAAGCUCUUUUGUCAGGGAAGAAAAGGCUGUGGCUAAUAUCCACAGCUGCUGACGGUACCUGAAGAAUAAGCACCGGCUAACUACGUGCCAGCAGCCGCGGUAAUACGUAGGGUGCAAGCGUUAAUCGGAAUUACUGGGCGUAAAGCGUGCGCAGGCAGUUUCGUAAGUCUGUCGUGAAAUCCCCGGGCUUAACCUGGGAAUGGCGAUGGAGACUGCGAGGCUAGAGUUUGGCAGAGGGGGGUAGAAUUCCACGU
rnacentral:rRNA from 1 species